rnacentral:rRNA from 1 species
UACGAAGGGGGCUAGCGUUGCUCGGAAUCACUGGGCGUAAAGCGCACGUAGGCGGCUUUCUAAGUCAGGGGUGAAAUCCUGGAGCUCAACUCCAGAACUGCCUUUGAUACUGGAGAGCUUGAGUCCGGGAGAGGUGAGUGGAACUCCGAGUGUAGAGGUGAAAUUCGUAGAUAUUCGGAAGAACACCAGUGGCGAAGGCGACUUACUGGACACAUACUGACGCUGAGGUGCGAAAGCGUGGGGAGCAAACAGG